rnacentral:lncRNA from 1 species
CGGUAUCAUUUCAUCCUGUUUAUAAAGGGGAAGAAACCCUAAAGUAUUGAUGAAAUGGGAAAACAAAAACAUUCUAACUCUCUCCUCUCUAUUCGGCUGAUCCAAUCAACCCCUCAUUCGCAUGCCCUUACUUUAAUUUAAGCAGUGAUUUGCGAUGUGCAAAGGUACCAUGGAGAAUCAUCGAGGAUUAUCUGCUUCAAUUUCAAAACCCUAUCCCUACUUUGAUUGCGACGAAGAAGACGGAUCUCGUCCACUAAGGUAAAUCCUUUUCUUUCUUUUAUUUUCUUAUGUUAAAAUUUCGUGCAAACCCAAAGAAGAAAAACAAAAAAAAGAAAAGAAAUAAGACUGGGAAUCACCUUUCAAAUACUUUCGGCUUGAUUUUUUUGGUAUUUGUGUAUCCGUAAAAAUUGCAUAGUACAUUCAGUCCCUUUUUAUAGCUGAAAAAUGAAAAUAAAAUAAAUAAGAAAAAUCAAAUUGCUUUGCUGUAAUCUACUGCGUAUUCUGUUAUUUGCUUAUUCUCGUGUGUUCCAUUUGCAGAAUAAACAGUACAAAGGCACGAGCAGAGACGCGUGCGAGGGACUGGUGGGGCACGUGUGGUGUUCGUUUGGAUCACUGGCUGCGGCGCGAGAGGGAGAACCCUUUGGGUUUCUGGAACAAUCACUUGGCCCAGUCUUGUAUUUGGGUCAUGUAUCAAAUAGACUAGGACUUUGGGUAUUUGUUAAUUUUAAUUUUGAUGUUUUGAGUUUGGUUUAGUUUAAUAAUUGGGCUGUUAUUAUAUAUAUAUUUGGGUUAAAUAAUCUGUAAAUAGACAUUAGUUUAUUUUGGGCUAUUUAUUGUUUAUUGUUUUUUAUUUUGGUUUUUUUAACUUUAUUUUGGUUUAUAAUGGGCCGGGCGAAUUGGGCCUAUUAUAGCUGCC